rnacentral:lncRNA from 1 species
CUGAGCGCCUUGACCACUGGAGUCACCAGGCCACUGUCCUCGGCAACUUCCCCUCUUCGCCCGGCCGGCAAAGGUUGGAAACCCCGCUCUAACGCAGCCUUCUCGAUCCCAGAAUCAGCAGCAGCAGCAGCUCUGCGCAGUCCCCGGGUCAGAGCGGCGGCCCCCGGCGGCUCCUCCUUCCCAGCUACCCGAGAAACCCGGGUCAGGGAAUUAACUAAAAAACGGAAACUACGGAAAGUGCCCGAAGACAGCCGGGGAGUGUGGGGUGGGGAUGGCGCGGGAGCGAUGCGGGACUCCACCGCCCUCCACUCUCCCUUCUUCCGACUCUUCCCCGUCUCUUACCCCCGCCAAGCCCCCACCUCCAUCUCCCCUACCGAUCUCUGUCCAGGCCACAGAGGGGAAGAGGAAGCCCAGCAUCCCUUGGGGCCCAGGUCCUAUGAAAAGGAAAAUUUAGCAUCGGUCUGGAGGGGCGGACCCGGCUCCACUGCUAGCUCCUUCUUUCCGAGCCUCUGACCUCCAAUCCAGGGCGGCAGCGGUGGCAUGCACCCGCACACCUACGCCGAUGCAAACAGACACACACAAAAUUGUGGACCCAAAUAGGGAGCAGAACACGCACUUAUCCAGCUCUCCGGAGGCAGCUGCGGGGAGGAGAUGUUCUGCAGCGCCUACUCCACACCAGGCACUGUCCCAUUAGCUCAUUUGUUGCUCACGAAGACCCUCGUCAGGCCCACUACUGACCCCACAGCAGCUCCACAGAAUCCAGAAACUCAGAGGCAUCUAGUCCAAACAGGCCAAGUCUCCAUCCCUGCCUCCUACCCUCUCUCUAACACUGUUAAUACCGGAGGUGACCUGAAGACGGGCUGCAGCAGGAUGCGGAGGACUGGCGUUGGAACACACCCACCCCCCUCUCUGUGA